GAGCACUGGUUGUGUUGUGGCAUAUUGGCCAAAAUGUAUCAGAAGGUGACUGGAACUGCAUUGUUAGCAGGAAAUACUAGUUGAAAGACAUUUACUGCCAAAGAAGCAAGCAUCAGAUUAAAGAACUACUGCUAAAUUUGGAACAAGGAUCCAUUAUCUUCUGACAGCAUCUGUAAGGAGCAACCACAGUGGCCCGAUGUGGCCUAUAACUAAAAUGCCGUGAGAGGAAAUGGGCACUUUUUUACCUGACAUCUUCUAGCAGUAGCUACUUAUAGUGACACCUGCUUCAGUGGCAAGAUAGAGACAGCAGCUACGUAGGGAAAUGGUUAAUUCUCAUUCUAUCAACCUGAUCUAGACCUGACCAGAUAUGGUUCAAAAUCAGCUCACUGAAGCUGAUUGCUUCCCUCUGUUACAUGGAAGGAGUCUCCGCUGUUUGAUUCAUUGGGAAAGAAAGAAGCACAUACCUUUUGAAAAGAGCCUGCA